UACGAAGGGGGCUAGCGUUGCUCGGAAUGACUGGGCGUAAAGGGCGCGUAGGCGGCUUGCACCGUCAGAUGUGAAAUUCCUGGGCUUAACCUGGGGGCUGCAUUUGAUACGUGUGGGCUUGAGUGCGGAAGAGGGUCGUGGAAUUCCCAGUGUAGAGGUGAAAUUCGUAGAUAUUGGGAAGAACACCGGUGGCGAAGGCGGCGACCUGGUCCGUGACUGACGCUGAGGCGCGAAAGCGUUGGGGAGCAAACAGG
rnacentral:rRNA from 1 species